rnacentral:rRNA from 1 species
GGGCGAAAGCCUGACGGAGCAACGCCGCGUGAGUGAUGAAGGUCUUCGGAUCGUAAAACUCUGUUAUUAGGGAAGAACAUAUGUGUAAGUAACUGUGCACAUCUUGACGGUACCUAAUCAGAAAGCCACGGCUAACUACGUGCCAGCAGCCGCGGUAAUACGUAGGUGGCAAGCGUUAUCCGGAAUUAUUGGGCGUAAAGCGCGCGUAGGCGGUUUUUU